CAGUAGCCGCGGUAAUACAGAGGGUGCGAGUGUUAAUCGGAUUUACUGGGCGUAAAGCGUGCGUAGGCGGCUUCUUAAGUCGGAUGUGAAAUCCCUGAGCUUAACUUAGGAAUUGCAUUCGAUACUGGGAAGCUAGAGUAUGGGAGAGGAUGGUAGAAUUCCAGGUGUAGCGGUGAAAUGCGUAGAGAUCUGGAGGAAUACCGAUGGCGAAGGCAGCCAUCUGGCCUAAUACUGACGCUGAGGUACGAAAGCAUGGGGAGCAAACAGGAUUAGAUACCCGGGUAGUCCCUGUCUCUUAUAC
rnacentral:rRNA from 1 species